CCUACGGGGGGCUGCAGUGGGGAAUAUUGGACAAUGGGGGCAACCCUGAUCCAGCCAUGCCGCGUGUGUGAAGAAGGCCCUCGGGUUGUAAAGCACUUUCAGUGAGGAAGAACGCCUGGUGGUUAAUACCCAUCAGGAAAGACAUCACUCACAGAAGAAGCACCGGCUAACUCCGUGUCAGCAGCCGCGGUAAUACGGAGGGUGCGAGCGUUAAUCGGAAUUACUGGGCGUAAAGCGCGCGUAGGUGGCUUGAUAAGCCGGUUGUGAAAGCCCCGGGCUCAACCUGGGAACGGCAUCCGGAACUGUCAAGCUAGAGUGCAGGAGAGGAAGGUAGAAUUCCCGGUGUAGCGGUGAAAUGCGUAGAGAUCGGGAGGAAUACCAGUGGCGAAGACGGCCUUCUGGACUGACACUGACACUGAGGUGCGAAAGCGUGGGUAGCAAACAGGAUUAGAUACCCCUGUAGUC
rnacentral:rRNA from 1 species